CGUUGAAAUGCCGGUUCUCGUACGAACAUUGAAGUUAAGCAACGUUGAGCCUAUUAGUACCUACAUGGGUGAGCACAUGGGAAUACCAAGAGCUGCAAG
rnacentral:rRNA from 1 species